UCUAAAAUGGCAGAAUUAAGUGCCUUGAACUUAAGAUUCAAAAAUAAAGAAAACUUUUUUUAGAA
rnacentral:tRNA from 1 species